UCAAAUGAAGGCAUGUUAUCGCUAGGAUGUGCAAAGUUGCAUACAGCACGGGAUAAAAACGAUGAAAGUUUGCGGCGUGACAGCAAUGACAUCUAUGUGCAUUCGAGCUGGGGCCUAGAAGCCCUUGGAAUGUCGAUUAGGGAGGGCUGGUGGAAACUAAACUGAGAAAGGCGUUGAUGUUCAUCUUGUUAAACAUUCAAGCAUUAUCUGCCAUCCCCUCUUUGUUUUCUUUUCCUGAGGUUUUGUCUCCGUGGAGCGUGAAACGCGAUUGUUUUUGACACUGUCUCAGGAUUGUUUAUUUCGUAUCGGUUUCUUUUGAAUCAAGAAAUAUUUUGACAUUUCGAAUUUAUUUAUGCCAAUGCCAUGUUCCGCCAAAAGCACAGGACCAAAACGCUGAUAAAGUUGAGUACGCUGAAACCCCAGAUCCACAGGGAAAGCAUGAGGGACAGUUCAAUAUCUGUAGCGCCCGGCAUUGAGCUUCUCGCCCAUCCAAUGAUUCUUUUGACGUCGAGCGACCUGAUCUCGUCUCAACAUGGCUGGAACGGGUGGUCCGGUGAUGAUUGUUCGAUUCAGCCCAUAGAUGUCGUUGUGGUUCUGUUCUGCGAGUACCGGUUUUGUUAUGAAUAGUAUCAAGGCAAUUGUGGCGGCCAAUGUCAUCCUGUCGAUCACUUGCCGGCAUAACAAGGGGCCGAGAAAAAUAAUCAAGAAGAAGCAUUGAAUUUCUGGACAGUCGGACAGCAUGAUGGUUGUAAAGAAUAAAGUACACAACUUCAUUUUUGCCCAAUCAGUUAAUGAAACAAUAGCCCAAAAAAUUGAAGCUUCUGUUUUUUAUUGGCGUCGUGUUCAACGCUGUUAACUAGCAAGGCAUCAUAUCGCACUCUUUUUGUGCAUUUGAAUUCGUUUCAGAAUUGCAUAUCUUUUAUUUUCAUUGUUUCUAUUUGGCUGAGGUGUUUUCAAACUACGUUCAACACUCGUGAACGUUCAAAUCUAUUCACUUUCUUUUCUUAGUAAACAAUUUGUCUUUGUAUGGUAGAUGGGCCUCCUUUGCUUGACACUGAGGCCCAUGUCCAAUCGCAGAUGGAGGACGCAUGCCAUACAGCUCAUGUUGAUUGUGCAAGGUCAUAACACCAGACAAAGAGACGGCCAGUUUUUAUGAGAUGGUUCUCUCACUUUGCAUUCCUUUCUCAUGGUCAAAGCGCGCAAGAGAUUGAGAAUGA